UAAUACGUAGGGUGCGAGCGUUAAUCGGAAUUACUGGGCGUAAAGCGUGCGCAGGCGGUUUUUUAAGACAGGCGUGAAAUCCCCGGGCUCAACCUGGGAACUGCGCUUGUGACUGGAAGGCUAGAGUACGGCAGAGGGGGGUGGAAUUCCACGUGUAGCAGUGAAAUGCGUAGAGAUGUGGAGGAACACCAAUGGCGAAGGCAGCCCCCUGGGUCGAUACUGACGCUCAUGCACGAAAGCGUGGGUAGCAAACAGGAUUAGAUACCCUGGUAGUCCACGCCCUAAACGAUGUCAACUAGGUGUUGGGUGGGUAAAACCAUUUAGUACCGGAGCUAACGCGUGAAGUUGACCGCCUGGGGAGUACGGCCGCAAGGUUA
rnacentral:rRNA from 1 species